rnacentral:misc_RNA from 1 species
CUGAACAACCUCCACAUCUUUAUGAGCAGUUUGCACAGGUUGUGAUGAAGGGACUGUAGCGGGUGCAGACUGCAACAACUGACCUGGGGUUACCAAUGGAUGUGUGGGUGUUUCUGUCCGAAGAGAAUUAGAGGCCACAACCGAAGAUGUAGAUUGUACAGUGCUUUGAUAAGGCAUUGUUGGACCAGAAAUUGAAUUAGGCUUGUUAGAGAUUGGUGGUACAAUGGUAUUUAAUUCUGAGCCUGAAGAAGUCAAAGGAGAGAGUGCUGGUAAGCUGGCAUUUAAAUUUGCUGCCGGAAGUGCAGAACUAGGAGCCUUAGUAGGAAUCAAACUUGGUAAUGUUUCUGAAGCUAAUGUAGCAGAGGGCACCGAAUGUAAAGUUGAAGGCAAGGUAGAUGAUGCUGAAGAAGAGGAUACUAAAUUAAGGGAGCUAGUACCAGCAGAAAGCAAAGGAGAUUGAAUAUCUGGCAAUGAAGCUGGUAAGUUUGAAACUGGCAAGUUUGAAGUCGGUAAGUUUGAAACUGGCAAGUUUGAGGCUCCAGCGGGUAAAGGGGCAUUAUAAUUUGGAUACUGCAUUGGCUGCUGCAUGGAAGGAGGCAUUGACAGCCCAGGUGGUGGUCGAAGCAACGAUUGUUGGUGUAAAUGAGGAAGCCCAUUUGGAGGACCAUAGUAACCUUGCCAAUACAUUGGCAU